rnacentral:tRNA from 2 species
CUUUUAAAGGAUAAUAGUCAUCCAUUGGUUUUAGGCACC